AAGAUCAUAUGAAUAAUUUACAGCCAUCCAACUCCGAGUAACAACAGAAAAUCGCUAUGAUUUCACCAGUGAAUUUCGAUACUCUACCAGAACCAGAAGUCACAUGUAAAUGUGCGAAAAAUACAGGAAAGAAGAAAAGAGAAAACGAUAAAAAUGCAUGAGAGUAAUCGAUAAGAAAAAAAUGAAAUAGAUGUACAGUAAAAAAAAAAAAAAAGUAUUACAUCGACAAAUCAGUGACGAACAGGAAAUUAUGUAAGGAUCUACGUAAAUAAUAAUGUCACAUCUUGCAACCACCUGUGUUUUGUUUUUUAAGACAAUUUAUAAAUAAAUUGACAAUAAAGAAAACUAAAUUCCUGAUAUAAAUAUAGGUUUAGUUCUGGAAGAUUUCUUGGUAGAGAUUCACAGAAAGAAAGAAGAAAUAAAAUU